AUUGAACGCUGGCGGCAGGCCUAACACAUGCAAGUCGAGCGGAUGAAGGGAGCUUGCUCCUGGAUUCAGCGGCGGACGGGCGAGUAAUGCCUAGGAAUCUGCCUGGUAGUGGGGGAUAACGUCCGGAAACGGGCGCUAAUACCGCAUACGUCCUGAGGGAGAAAGUGGGGGAUCUUCGGACCUCACGCUAUCAGAUGAGCCUAGGUCGGAUUAGCUAGUUGGUGGGGUAAAGGCCUACCAAGGCGACGAUCCGUAACUGGUCUGAGAGGAUGAUCAGUCACACUGGAACUGAGACACGGUCCAGACUCCUACGGGAGGCAGCAGUGGGGAAUAUUGGACAAUGGGCGAAAGCCUGAUCCAGCCAUGCCGCGUGUGUGAAGAAGGUCUUCGGAUUGUAAAGCACUUUAAGUUGGGAGGAAGGGCAGUAAGUUAAUACCUUGCUGUUUGGACGUGACCAACAGAAUAAGCACCGGCUAACUUCGU
rnacentral:rRNA from 1 species